UGACCUCAGGUGAUCCACCUGCCUCAGCCUCCCAAAGUGCUGGGAUUACAGCCACCACACCCGGGUGAGCCACAGCGCCCAGCCAGGAAAGGAGAUUCUUGACUAAUACUUCCAUGGCCUUGGGGGCCCAGCUAUCUGGCAAAGCACAGCCCUGCCAUCUCCCUAGAAUCCUCCAUGUUGAAUAGAACCACCUUGACAAUCCACUUAGUGGUGGUGACAUUCUAAAGGGCAGUUGCUAAGUUGCUUUCCAAGAGGCUGGGCCCUGCUGACCAGAGGGCCCCAGUCUUCUCUGAGCACAUGGGAAGGCACAGCUUCAGCAUCAGAAAAAAACUGGAAAGUCACUGUGAUUUUGGAAAGGAUAAGAUUGUAAUAAGGGCCUCCCUCCACUGCCCCAGGCCCCUGGACCAGACGGCACCCCGUGGCCAAGACAUCUCCUGGGAGCCACUGUCCAAAGAGAUGCUGCCUCCACUUCUAUCACUCCAGACCCCAAGGGCCCCUGAGAGAUGGUCCUCAUUUCUCUUCAAUCACAUCCUGUGAAUUAGACACGGUCUAUCAUUUUACACAUGAGGAAACUGAGGUUCGGGGAGAUGAAGUUACUUGUCCAAGGACAUUCAGCUUAGACCAGUGCCACAAUCCAAUGGAGAACUUGCACUCAGAACCCUGGGCUCAAGCCCCACACAGUCUCACGUCAGGCCAGCCCUAGCCGGUGGCCAUCCCUCUUCCCGCCCC